rnacentral:rRNA from 1 species
GGAUCUAUCCGUCGGUCGGGCCUCACGGUCCGCACUGGUGUGAUGGAUUCCUACCUUCUGAACAUCCGGUAUGCCAUUAAUUUGAUGUGCCGGGGAAGCAGAACCAUUACCUUGAAAAAAUUAGAGUGCUCAAAGCAGGCUUGUGCCUGAAUACAUUAGCAUGGAAUAAUAAAAUAGGACGGCAUGGUUCUAUUUUGUUGGUUUCUAGGAUCACCGUAAUGA